rnacentral:rRNA from 1 species
UGUAGGCUGAAACUACGCCUACAUGAAGCUGGAGUUGCUAGUAAUCGCGAAUCAGCAUGUCGCGGUGAAUACGUUCCCGGGCCUUGUACACACCGCCCGUCACACCAUGAGAGUUGGCGAUACCCAACGUACGUGAUCUAACCCGCAAGGGAGGAAGCGUCCUAAGGUAGGGGUCAGCGAUUGGGGUGAAGUCGUAACAAGGUAAC